GAUCUCUUAAAGCNGUUCUCAGUUCGGACUGCAGUCUGCAACUCGACUGCACGAAGCUGGAAUCGCUAGUAAUCGCGGAUCAGCACGCCGCGGUGAAUACGUUCCCGGGCCUUGUACACACCGCCCGUCACACCAUGGAAGUCUGCAAUGCCCGAAGCCGGUGGCCUAACCACUUAUGUGGAAGGAGCCGUCUAAGGCAGGGCAGAUGACUGGGGUGAAGUCGUAACAAGGUAAC
rnacentral:rRNA from 1 species